UAGAAGGUGGUGUAGACGAAGCAUAAGGAGUUUUGAAUUCCUAGACAUGGGUUCAAAUCCCUUCCUUCUAA
rnacentral:tRNA from 1 species